CCUACGGGUGGCAGCAGUGGGGAAUAGUGCACAAUGGGGGAAACCCUGAUGCAGCGACGCCGCGUGAGUGAAGAAGGAUUUCGGUAUGUAAAGCUCUAUCAGCAGGGAAGAAAUAAAGUCCUGCGGACUUUGGACGGGACAGGACGAAGAAGCCCCGGCGAACUACGUGCCAGCAGCCGCGGUAAUACGUAGGGGGCAAGCGGUAGCCAGAUGUACUGGGUGUAAAGGGAGCGUAGACGGCAGCGCAAGUCUGGAGUGAAAUCCCCUGGCUUAACCAUGGAACUGCUUUGGAAACUGUGCAGCUGGAGUGCAGGAGAGGUCAUCGGAAUUCCUAGUGUAGCGGUUACAUGCGUAGAUAUUAGUCGGAACCCCAGUGGCGAAGGCGGCUUACUGGACUGUCCCUGACGUUGAGGCUCGACAGCGUGGGGAGCAAACAGGAUUAGAUACCCCAGUAGUC
rnacentral:rRNA from 1 species